rnacentral:rRNA from 1 species
GUGCCAGCAGCCGCGGUAAGACGAAGGAUGCAAGCGUUAUCCGGAUUCAUUGGGUUUAAAGGGUGCGUAGGCGGACCUGUAAGUCAGUGGUGAAAUCUCUCAGCUUAACUGAGAAACUGCCAUUGAUACUGCAAGUCUAGAGUAUAGAUGACGUUGGCGGAAUAUGACAUGUAGUGGUGAAAUACUUAGAUAUGUCAUAGAACACCGAUUGCGAAGGCAGCUAACGAAACUAUAACUGACGCUGAGGCACGAAAGUGCGGGGAUCAAACAGGAUUAGAUACCCUGGUAGUCC